rnacentral:rRNA from 1 species
AGCGGAGGGAUCAUUGCUGGAACGCGCUUCGGCGCACCCAGAAACCCUUUGUGAACUUAUACCUAUUGUUGCCUCGGCGUAGGCCGGCUUUUUCUAAAAGCCCCCUGGAAACAGGGAGAAGCCCGCCGGCGGCCAACCAAACUCUUGUUUCUACAGUGAAUCUCUGAGUAAAAAACAUAAAUGAAUCAAAACUUUCAACAACGGAUCUCUUGGUUCUGGCAUCGAUGAAGAACGCAGCGAAAUGCGAUAAGUAAUGUGAAUUGCAGAAUUCAGUGAAUCAUCGAAUCUUUGAACGCACAUUGCGCCCUCUGGUAUUCCGGAGGGCAUGCCUGUUCGAGCGUCAUUUCAACCCUCAAGCCUGGCUUGGUGAUGGGGCACUGCCUGUAAAAGGGCAGGCCCUGAAAUCUAGUGGCGAGCUCGCCAGGACCCCGAGCGUAGUAGUUAUAUCUCGCUCUGGAAGGCCCUGGCGGUGCCCUGCCGUUAAACCCCCAACUUCUGAAAAUUUGACCUCGGAUCAGGUAGGAAUACCCGCUGAACUUAAGC